rnacentral:rRNA from 1 species
GGUUGCGAUCAUACCAGCACUAAUGCACCGGAUCCCAUCAGAACUCCUCAGUUAAGCGUGCUUGGGCGAGAGUAGUACUAGGAUGGGUGACCCCCUGCGAAGUCCUCGUGUUGCAACCC